UACGUAGGGGGCAAGCGUUGUCCGGAAUUAUUGGGCGUAAAGCGUCCGCAGGUGGCGAUUCAAGUCUGCGGUUAAAGACUGGGGCUUAACCCUGGAAAGGCCGUGGAAACUGAAACGCUAGAGUGCAGUAGGGGUAGAGGGAAUUCCCGGUGUAGCGGUGAAAUGCGUAGAGCUCGGGAAGAACAUCGGUGGCGAAAGCGCUCUGCUGGACUGCAACUGACACUCAGGGACGAAAGCUAGGGGAGCGAAUGGG
rnacentral:rRNA from 1 species